rnacentral:rRNA from 1 species
UACGGAGGGGGCUAGCGUUGUUCGGAAUCACUGGGCGUAAAGGGUGCGUAGGUGGCGUGGUAAGUCAGAUGUGAAAGCCCGGGGCUCAACCUCGGAAUUGCAUCCGAUACUGCCGUGCUAGAGUACUGAAGAGGUGACUAGAAUUCUCGGUGUAGCAGUGAAAUGCGUAGAUAUCGAGAGGAAUACCAACGGCGAAGGCAGGUCACUGGGCAGUUACUGACACUGAGGCGCGAAAGCUAGGGGAGCAAACAGG